rnacentral:lncRNA from 1 species
AAGGUUGCAAAAUGGCGAGGGGGGAGGUAAGCUGUCUUUGCUUGGCCAUCUUGGGCUAGCAGGCCCUGCAGAGAACUACCUUUUUAGCUGAGUGAAGGGAUCAGUCAACCUGAGUUGGAGUUCUCCUAUGCUGUGGCCAGAUCCACUAGAAAUUAAGCCAGAAUCUUAGCCUCUCACUGGCCUAUCGGUGAUGCCACAUGCAAUCAGAAACUAUGCCACUGGUGAAGAGGUAUAUUGAGCCCUGCCUGGUUAACCUCCAGUGAGGUUAUCAGAGAAUUGGGAGAGGCUCAAACCAGCAUCCUGCACCUAGUUAUCAAACCAUUGUGAAGUCUUGAUUCCUGGAUGGCCAGAAAACUUCUCAUUGGUCAAGAGCAACAUUAAGAUCUGCCUGUUACUCAUACUGAUGCUUCCUGCCCAGCAAGUUCAUCAGAGGAAGAGGAUGAAUUACGGUUGCCAUGGAUGUCCUUGUGAGGCAGUUGGGAAGCCUUGGCUGGAUUGUGAAGGAUAUUUGAAAAGUAUUUUAGAGUCCACCAGAUCCUCCAUGUGAAUGACCAUGCAGCAAAAGAAGGAGGGUCCUGUCAGUGAUUAAGGUAACAUAGUGAUGAAGGUAAGUAGGGGAAGAGAGGCUUACUUUGCCCUGAUUCUUGUCAGGGAGGCUCUUAGAACUGCCAUUUCCAGAGCAUAAGUGACAGGCCAGCACUUUCAAAGCCUGCAACUUAUUCUAUAAUAUAUCCUUCUUAAAACAAUUCAUGUAGAUUAUAUGCUUACCCAGUCUGUGAUCACUCCUGCAGAUCAGAAGAACUGAAAUAUAGGUGACAUAGGCUCUUGCUUUUGUAAAUAUUUUGUUGAAACACAGUUGUGUUCAUUCAUUAUUGUCGAUGGCAGCUUUCAUGCUACAGCAGAGAUGAGUAGUUGGGAGAGAAACCAUAUGGACCAUGGAGUUUGAAAUAUUACUGUCUGGCCCUUCACAGAAAGUUUGCCAAUUCGUGGCAUAGAUUAAAUAAAUGUACUAUGUCUACAAAUCCUCCUCUCCCCAUUUUCCUUUCAAUGGGACUUGCAUUUACAGUUGAUCCUAGAACAUAUGGAAUCUCAUAGUAAUCAGCUUGCUUCUGAAUUUCUUCCCACUCAAAUUAAGCUCACCUAGAAAGCACAUUCACAAAUCGGGCUACAUAUACAGAAGGAACUAUGUUUUAUAUGCCUCAUCGUAGUCAACUCAUUUAUCCUAUAUGUAUGGUUCCCCCAUUUUUUCCUUCUUUUCAGGGGUGACUUUUAAACUUGAGCCAUUCAUGAGUAUCCAAAAAGUUACAACUUAUGUUUUCUAAUUAAGACUUUAUCCUUAUUUUAGUAUACUUACCCUCCCUGGCUUUUUUGCAUAUUUCUGCAGAUGUCUUGACCUUUCUGGGGAAUAAGCCCCCUUAGAAGAUUAAUUUUCUGUAGUUCUCUAUUGAGGAAAUACAUGACAUUUAGCUUUUUAAUAAUUUGAUGCCAUUCAUUGAGCACCUACUGUGUGCUUUAUGUACCCUGUCUCAUUGAAUUUUUACAGAAAACUGGAAGAGUUAGUUUUGUGUUAUUACUACCUCCAUCUCAAAGAUGAGUCUUGGAAAGUUUAAGUAACUUUAGGUUACAUUGUAAUCAGUGGCAGAACUGGGACUUAAGAACAUAAUUCAUGUUUGCAUUUUCUUUUCUUUCUCUCUUUUUUUUUUUAAUUUUUUUAAAAGAGAGAGCAUCUCACUCACUAUGUUGCCCAGGCUGGUCUUGAACUCCUGGGCUUAAGCAAUUCUCCCACCUCCGCCUCCCAAAGUGUUAGGAUUAUAGGCAUGAGCCCUCAUGCCCACCCCUUGCGUUUUCUAUUUAAGUGGUCUUGAAGUUUGUUUUUUUUUUCCCCUUUUUAAAUCUUGGAAUUUGGCCUUUAGUAAGCAUAGAAUAGCAAAGUGUAAUACCUGAACUGGGGAAAAAAGUCCUUGAAUUCUUUAGGAAAGACUUAGUUGAUGGGUACAAAGUGAAAUGCUCACUGGAACCGGGAAUCAGAAUCCAGUUCUGCUCACCUAUCCCUACAUACCCUUCUUCCCUCUGCCCUGGCGUAUCAUGGUUGAUGUACAUAUCAAUGAUCAUCCCUUCUAUAAUCCCACUUAACAACUUAGAAGUUAAUUGAUAAUACUCUUCUGGCUUAAAACCCUUCUUCUCUGGGCAGGUGUGGUGGCUCCUACAUUAUCCCAGCACUUUGGGAGGCCGAGGUGGGAGGAUUGCGUGAGCCCAGGAGUUUGAGACCAGCCUGGGUAACAUAGCAAGACCCUGUCUCUACAAAAAAAUUAAAAAGUAGCUGGGCAUGAUGGUGUUCACGCCUGUAAUCCCAGCAUUUGGGGAGGCCAAGGCGGGUGAAUCAUGAGGUCAAGAGAUCAAGACCAUCCUGGCCAACAUGGUGAAACCUCGUCUGUACUAAUACUACAAAAAUUAGCCGGGCGUGGUAGCAGGCACCUGUAGUCCCAGCUAUGGGAGGCUGAGGCAGGAGAAUCAUGUGAACCUGGAAGACGGAGGUUGCAGAGAGCUGAGAUCGCACCACUGUACUCCAGCCUGGUGACAGAGCAAGACUCUGUCUCAAAAAAAAAAGAAACAUCCAGAUGUCCUCUUACUGGAAGGGCAUCAUAGUUUAUCCUGCACCUGACACUAAUAUACCUACUCUGGGAAUUCUUCUACCUACAACUAUUUAUCUGAUCCCAUCAGGUAUUAAAGUUCUAAAAGUUAACAGAAUUCUUAAAGGUUCCCAAUCCCUCCCAGAAACCCCAUCAUCUCAAAGUCACUAGCUAUUAAAAGAAGCAAAAAAAAAAAAAAAAAAA